CUCACAUACAUCAGAACCAUCCAUACCAACAGAGGUCGAAGAAGAACCAGCACUGGAAGAGCCAUUGACUGCCACUGAUACAGAAUCGGAGAUAGAGGAUGAUAUUUCUGGGAAAAGAGUCUAUAUCAAAGAUGACAAUUUGAGGACACAAGCAAAGUUUGUUGUCUUUCUUCCACAACUCAUGGAAUUAUUUGGCACUUGUCCAACCUGUAGCAUGCCAGGUGUCCUCAUUGAUGUUAAAAAGUUUGGAACAAUGGUACAAAUCGAGAGAACAUGCAGUCAAAAAAAGUGCACAAAACGCAACAAUGUGUGGAGCAGUCAACCAAAAUUUCCUAACUCCAGUAUUCCAGCGGGGAAUUUACUUCUGUCAUUUGCCAUUUUAACUGGCGGUGGAUCUGCAAGCAAAACGCUAAGAAUAUUUGAACAUAUGGGGUUAGGAAGCAUAUCUCUGUCCACAUUCUACCGCCAUCAACGUACCAAGCUGUUUCCCACCAUUCAUAUGCAUUGGAAAUCAUACAAAGCAUCAUGGCAAGCAAAGUUGAAAGAAAUAGAUGGCAUUGUUUUAGCUGGGGAUGGUCGUCAUGACAGUAUGGGACAUAGCGCAAAAUACUGUGCAUAUAGUUUGUUCUGUUGUGAUGAUCCAAUAAAUGCAAUA